UGAUGUGAGGGCAAUCUGGCUGUGACAUCUGUCACCCCAUUGAUCAUUGAUCAUUGAUCACCAGGGUUGAUUAGGCUGACCUGGCUGACUAGGCGGGUGUCCUCUUCCUCCCUCAUCUCUCCAUGUGCGUCCCUCCCGAAGCUGCAUGCUGGGUCAAAGAGGAUGGCCUUCCCUGAAUAGAGACUGACCAGUCUUUGGUAGAAUGUAUAGGAGUAGCUGCGCUCCCCUACUAGAACCUCCAAACAAGCUCUCAAGGAAAGUGGCAUAGGGAGUAGGUAAGGAGGAUAUCUAGGUCUAAGCAGAAAAUAUUUGAUUAAGUUUUUUUUUUU
rnacentral:snRNA from 1 species